UACGUAGGGACCGAGCGUUGUCCGGAAUCAUUGGGCGUAAAGAGCGUGUAGGCGGCCUUUUAAGUCCUGCGUGAAAUCCUGCGGCUCAACCGCAGACGGUCGUGGGAAACUGGAAGGCUAGAGUGCGGGAGAGGAGAGUGGAGUUCCCGGUGUAGCGGUGAAAUGCGCAGAUAUCGGGAAGAACACCCGUGGCGAAGGCGGCUCUCUGGAACGCAACUGACGCUGAGACGCGAAAGCGUGGGGAGCAAACAGG
rnacentral:rRNA from 1 species